AGUCCUGCAAAUAAAUUUAUUGAAACAUUGGCAUUCAUAAAAAAAACCAUAUAGAGGGCAGUCUUCUUGUAUCCUCUAAAAAUUCAGAAUUAGAAAAGAACACUUACGUGAGAGAUAUGGCACAGGAUGCUGUCUGCUUUCUACUCGAUAAGCUUCAAAUUUGGCUGGAGGCAGAAUGGAAGUUGCCGGGAAAGAUUAACAUGGAGGUCGACAGCUUGAGAGGUGAAUUGGAAAGCAUUAGCGCACUUCUGAAGGAUGCCGAUACCGAAAGAGAGCACAAUAGCCAAGUCACUGUCUGGCUUCAAAAACUUCGAGAUGGAACUUAUGACAUUGAGGAUCUUCUCGACAUUUUUACGUUUCACAUGGUUCAACAGUCUAUUAGCCACGGCCUUGAGUUCGUCACCAAAUGGAGAGCACGCCACCACAUCGAUGAGCUAAUUGAAGGUAUUAACAUGAAACUCAAAAGUAUCAAAGAAGCAAAGGAGAGAUAUCAUCAUAGCAUCAGUCCGUCCCAAGCCUCAAGUUCGACGACGGGAAAUGACACAUACCUUGCUCUAAGAAUAGAUCCUCUGUUCGCUGAAGACACUGAAAUUGUGGGGAUUGAAAAACCUACACAGAAACUGAUUACUUGGGCACAAAAAGGGAGGCAAAGUCUCAAGGUGGUGUUUGUAGUUGGGAUGGGCGGAUUGGGCAAAACAACUAUUGUUAAGCAAGCGUAUGAGAUGGUGAAGAAUGAAGGAUUCGAAUGCCAUGCUUGGAUCACUGUUGGAAGGUCAAUAAAUAAAGUGGAGCUCUUACAGAGGAUGUUCACAGAAUUCUGCAAUCUGCCGCCAGUCGAGCCAACUUCCCAGAGCUCAUCUCACUCCAACGUGGUCCACCUGACGAGCAAACUAAAGGAUCAUCUGCAAAACAAAAGGUAUGUUUUAGUUCUUGAUGAUUUGUGGAUUAAAGAUGUUUGGGAAACCAUUAGAAAGGCAUUACCUGAGGGUAAUCACAGUAGAAUAAUUAUCACUACACGAAGAGGCGAUAUAGCUUUUUCAUGUAGAGAUAACUCUACUGAUGUCUACAACAUCCCGUCUCUUCCUACGGAAAAGGCUAAACAACUCUUCUACAAGAAAGCUUUCCCAGAUGGCAUAUGUCCUUCACGGUUGGAGGACUGGUCCCAAAGAAUCUUAACAAAAUGCGAAGGAUUGCCAAUUGCAGUCAUUGAAAUUGGUAAAAUUCUGUAUAGAGAGAACUCUGUAUCUGCAUGGCAAAAAUUGCUUGGAAGCCUUGGAUCAGAGUUGAGCAGAAAUGGCCGCCUUUCAAAUACCAUGAGAGUACUAUCUCUAAGUUACAGUGACUUGCCAUACCAUCUCAAGUAUUGUUUUCUAUACUUGACCAACUUCCCCGAGAAUGAUUAUCCAGUUAGGUGCAGAGUAUUGAUUCGGCUGUGGAUAGCAGAGGGUUUUAUAAGAGAACAAACAGACAAAGAACUUGAAGACAUGGGAGAGGAGUAUCUAAAAGAACUCACCGACAGGAAUCUGAUACAAAGUGAAUUGGAUUUUGAUGGGAGGCCAAAAACUUGUCGGGUACAUAAUCUCAUGCAUAAGAUUAUUCUCUCAAAGUCAAGAGAGGAGAAUUUUUGCAAUGUUUUUUCAGAAUCACAGAGAAAAAUAAGUGACAAACCCCGUCGACUAUCUAUCCAAAGCCAUGGAUUCAACAAGUUGGAUGGGAGUGUUCACACCCUUUUUAUGUUCGGUGUACCCUACAGCUCAAUUCCAGACUUGAAAUUAUUGAGAGUUCUGCAUCUGGAAGGUGCAUCAUUGGAGAUCUUUCCUAAGGAAAUUGUGGGUUUACUGCUCUUGAAGUAUCUGUGUUUGAGGAAUAACAAUAUCAAAAUCAUUCCCGAGUCUCUGGGGAAUCUUAGGUACCUAGAGACCUUGGAUCUUAAGCAAACUAGAGUGGUAAAGCUGCCCAAAAAAGUCCUCAAACUUCAGAAACUUCGGCAUUUGCUUGUUUACCACUAUGACAUACAACAUUAUACCACUUUUGAUUGUGUCAAAGGAUUCGAGGUAUCAUCAGAGAUCCAGACACCCAACUUACAGAAGCUGUCAUUCAUAAAGGCAAAUAGGCAGCACAAUGUGAUUCAAGGGCUAAGGAAUCUGACACAACUAAGAAAGUUGGGGAUCAUUGAUCUUCCAAGUGGAGAUGGGUCAAAUCUGUGCGAGUCAAUUAAUCGAAUGCAAAACCUCCAUUCCUUAAAUGUAACAUCAUUACAAAAGGAUGAGGAGGUAGAUCUAGAAGCAAUUAGAAAUCCUCCACCAUUUCUUCAACGCGUGUAUCUUAAAGGGAAGUUAAAAAGGUUACCAAAUUGGAUUUCAAGACUUAAUGACUUGGUAAGGAUACGUCUUAAGUGGUCAAAGUUAACAGACGACAAGAACCCCAUCGAUAUCCUUCAAAAUCUUCCUCGUCUAUUGGAGCUCCACCUGCUCGAUGCCUAUACUGGAAACCAGCUAAGUUUCCAAAAAAGCAAAUUUCAAAGUUUGAAGAUCUUGGAACUCGAGCAAUUGGAACCAUUGAGAAAGGUCAGAAUGGAAGAGAAUACCUUACCUCAUCUCCAAAAGCUGAUUAUUAGGCAGUGCAAUAACCUGCAGCAGGUUCCAGAGGGUAUUAGAAACCUCACUUGCCUCAAAGAGCUUCACUUGUACGAUAUGCCCUACAGAUUUGUGGCUCAGCUCAAGAAUGGUGGAAAAUUGUGUCAUCUAGUUCGCCAUAUCCCAAGCAUCCAAUGUUAUUACCUCAAGACGAAUUGGGUGCCAGAAGAUCUCAAUCUCAUGGAUACUCGUAUUUGAUUCAUAGUCCGACUCUACGAUGGGAGCACAUACAAAGUAAUCAGGUCAGCAUAACCACAAUCAAGUUAGGUUAAGGAUUCAUGCAAUGGUGGUUUUUAUGUCAAAGUAAGUCUUAUCCUCUUCACACGAACAGUGCUUAGUUUGAUUAACCAGUUUUAUUCCACAGGGUGUAGAGAAAAAAAGGAAAAGGUAGGUUAUUCUCCAUUGUAGAUGAUGUGGAUCUAUCUUUUAUUCAGAGUAGUGAUGGGUUGUGAAAUAAUCAUGCCAGGUGAUUGAGGCUCAGAUGGGUGUGGCGUGCUUUCAUAGAACCGAGAUGAUGCCAAUAUAUCAGAAAACAGAGAAAAUAGACAUAUGAAAAGUUGUGGCACCAUUCAAUGAUGUAGAAGAUCUAGCUAAUUACUAUUACAUGAUGUUUCAUUGUUGGACUUCUUAAAUUUAUUGUAUUUGGGUUACGGAUGACUGUAAUUGAUUUGGUUUUGGAUUCCUCUUUCUUCUUUGGUAAGUGGUUUGGAGUCAUUUUUGGUGUAAACUGAUUGUUCACAUUGGAUGAUGUAUUGGUUAUAUUCAUCAAAAACAUAAUUUUAUGUUUUAUGGAUUUUAUUGUCCUA